AGAUGGCGACCGGCGCACGGGUGAGUAACGCGUAUCCAACCUGCCGAUAACUCGGGGAUAGCCUUUCGAAAGAAAGAUUAAUACCCGAUGGUAUAAUCAGACCGCAUGGUCUUGUUAUUAAAGAAUUUCGGUUAUCGAUGGGGAUGCGUUCCAUUAGGCAGUUGGUGAGGUAACGGCUCACCAAACCUUCGAUGGAUAGGGGUUCUGAGAGGAAGGUCCCCCACAUUGGAACUGAGACACGGUCCAA
rnacentral:rRNA from 1 species